GCCGGAGUGGCGGAACAGGCAGACGCAAGGGACUUAAAAUCCCUCGGACGAAUAGUCCGUGUGGGUUCGAUUCCCACCUCCGGCACCA
rnacentral:tRNA from 1 species